rnacentral:rRNA from 1 species
AAACGUAGGAGACGAGCGUUAUCCGGAUUUACUGGGCGUAAAGCGCGUGUAGGAGGCAAUACAAGUUGGAUGUAAAAUCUCCCGGCUUAACUGGGAGGCGUCGUUCAAGACUGUAUAGCUAGAGUAGUGGAGAGGUAAUCGGAACUCCGGGAGUAGCGGUGAAAUGCGUAGAUAUCCGGAAGAACACCAGAGGCGAAAGCGGAUUACUGGCCACCAACUGACACUAAGACGCGAAAGCCAGGGUAGCAAACGGGAUUAGAGACCCCGGUAGUCCUGGCCGUAAACGAUGUAGACUCGUCGUUUGGGGUGUAAAAGCCCUGAGUGACUAAGCAAACGCGAUAAGUCUACCGCCUGGGGAGUACGGUCGCAAGAUUAAAACUCAAAUGAAUUGGCGGGG